GACGAACCGUGCGAACGUUGUUCGGAUUCACUGGGCUUAAAGGGCGCGUAGGCGGGUUCCCAAGUCGGGGGUGAAAUCCCCCGGCUCAACCGGGGAAGCGGCGCCGAUACGACCGCCCUGGAGGGGCGUAGGGGGACCUGGAACUUCCGGUGGAGCGGUGAAAUGCGUUGAGAUCGGAAGGAACGCCCGUGGCGAAAGCGAGGUCCUGGACGCCUACUGACGCUGAGACGCGAAAGCCAGGGGAGCGAACGGG
rnacentral:rRNA from 1 species